UAACUCUCCGCCGGUCUGGUCUGUUCUGGUCUCUCCUCUUAUAUCUCCUUCAUCCUCUCCUUUUCUGUUAUCCCAAAACCAAAAGCAUCGGUUUUAGAAAAUCUUGUUCUUCAUCAUAGUUUUAAAUGUUUGAUUUUAAUAUGAUUUAGGUUUUCAUGAUUUGAUUAAUUUUUUUUGUGUGUGUUGAUCAAAACAAAGGGCUGAAUUUUCUAGGUUGGGCUUCCAUGAUGAUUUUGCAGAAAGAAUUUGUUUUUUUUCUUAAGAGAAGAGAUGAAGAAGAAGUUGCGGCCAGAGCGAAGAACCGUCCAAUUACAGUUAAAGGCGGUGAAUAUUAUUCUCCAGUUUUAUUGAAUCAGCUUCAAGCUCUUCCUCUAGUCCCAAGUUUGCUUGUGAUAUGCGAGAGCAGCGAAAUUGAUUGAUUAAUGUCUACUUUCAUUGCAGGCAUCAACAACAAAUGCAUUAUACAAUUCCAAUUCUGGAUGACCUCAGGACAUUUGAAAAGGGGAGAAAAGACAAAUGGAGAUCAAUUGCAAAUAAUCUAGAAUCAAUCUUAAAUCUCAAAAUCUCUGUAUAUUAAGUAGUGGCAAUAUUAGUAGUAGAAUAGGUUAUGCGCAGCAUACAUCUUUUCUGUACUUUUCUCUUUUUGAAGGAAUCUUUUGGUACUCGUUUAAUUUUGUAUUUUUUAUGUUUUUGAUGUAUUUGCACUAAUUUCAUUUUAAAUCAAUUUAAUUCUGUUGUAA